rnacentral:rRNA from 1 species
CAGUAGCCGCGGGAAUACGAAGGGGGCUAGCGUUGCUCGGAAUGACUGGGCGCAAAGGGCGCGUAGGCGGUUUGUACAGUUGGAUGUGAAAUUCCUGGGCUUAACCUGGGGGCUGCAUUCAAUACGUGCAGGCUUGAGUGUGGAAGAGGGUUGUGGAAUUCCGAGUGUAGAGGUGAAAUUCGUAGAUAUUCGGAAGAACACCAGUGGCGAAGGCGGCUUACUGGUCCAUUACUGACGCUGAGGUGCGAAAGCGUGGGGAGCAAACAGCAUUAGAUACCCGCGUAGUCCCUGUCUCUUAUAC